rnacentral:misc_RNA from 1 species
CGCACAUUGCGCCCCUUGGUAUUCCAUGGGGCAUGCCUGUUCGAGCGUCAUUUGUACCCUCAAGCUCUGCUUGGUGUUGGGUGUUUGUCCCGCUGCAUGCGUGGACUCGCCUCAAAACAAUUGGCAGCCGGCAUACUGGUCCUGGAGCGCAGCACAUUUUGCACUUCCAGCCCAGCAUGUUGGCAACCACAAGCCUAAAUUUUUACGCUUGACCUCGGAUCAGGUAGGGAUACCCGCUGAACUUAA